rnacentral:rRNA from 1 species
UACGGGAGGCAGCAGUGGGGAAUAUUGCACAAUGGGCGAAAGCCUGAUGCAGCUAUGCCGCGUGUAUGAAGAAGGCCUUAGGGUUGUAAAGUACUUUCAUCGGGGAGGAAAAACAAAACUAAUAAUUUUAUUUCUUGACGUUACCCGAAAAAGAAGCACCGGCUAACUCCGUGCCAGCAGCCGCGGUAAUACGGAGGGUGCUAGCGUUAAUCAGAAUUACUGGGCGUAAAGAGCACGUAGGUGGUUUUUUAAGUCAGAUGUGAAAUCCCUGGGCUUAACCUAGGAACUGCAUUUUGAAACUGAAAUACUAGAGUAUCGUAGAGGGAGGUAGAAUUCUAGGUGUAGCGGUGAAAUGCGUAGAUAUCUGGAGGAAUACCUGUGGCGAAAGCGGCCUCCUAAACGAAUACUGACACUGAGGUGCGAAAGCGUGGGGAGCAAAACAGGGAUUAGAUACC